rnacentral:tmRNA from 1 species
GGGGGCGCAAAGGUUUCGACGUUGGUGUUGAAGUUUUAUGUGCAUGUCGAGAUUCAGAGUUCUCGUUAAUAAAUCUGAAUAAAAUUUAGUUGCAAAUAAUAACAACUACGCUCUAGCUGCAUAAACCAGCUGGCAUUGAUGGAAUCUCACUUGGAGGACUUUAUCAAUGACGAUUAUCCAAGUUCGUCAAGACAAUUUGCUCUAAUCGUCUUGAUUAAAUAAAAAUAAGAGCUCGUGUUUAAAGAUACCUUCCUUUCGGUGCUUUAAAUAUAAAACUAAAGAAAGUGAUAAGCAUGUAGAUCAUAAUAUGGAUAGCUAGCGGACGCGGGUUCGAUUCCCGCCGCCUCCAC